AUGCAGAAGCUAGGGCUCUCGGGGCUUAGGGGCCUCGAUGGGUUCCGAUCUCUCGCUGGUGCCACCUCUACGGCUGGGAAGGCCACGAACCCCAAGCCCUCGUCGGAUGCUGGAGGUAGCACAUACGGGAGCUUCGCCAACCUUAAGAUCACAGCAGAGAAAUUAGUCAAGGAGCAGGCUUCAGUGAAGUCUGAUCUAGAAAUGGCGCAUACCAAGCUGAGAAGAGCAACAGAACAGAUAAAUAUGUUAGAAGCAAAGCUUCAACAAGCUGUCAACGAAAACAUGAAGCUUAAGGUAAAGCAGACUGAGGAUUCGAAGCUCUGGCAGGGGCUAGAUUCAAAAGUUUCCUCAACAAAGAUGCUGUGCGAUCAGUUAACUGAAACUCUGCAGCAGUUAGCAAGUCAGGCAGAAAGAGCUGAGGAAGAUAAGAAGUUUUUCGAGGGGAUGCUUGGGAAGAACUCUAAAGCUUUAGAUGAAUUGAACUGCUUGCUGCAUGAUUCCUCGGCAAAGCUGGAAUGUGCAGAACAAAGCAUCAUGUCAGGUAAACAGGAGAUUUUGCGGAUCAAACAAGAGAAAGAAGAAAUGGAUCAGAGUUACAAGGAACAGCUUUACGCAAAUGAUACUACCAUAAAGGAAAAAGAUUCUCUCAUCAAACAGUUGGAGGGUUCAGUUGAAGAAAAUAAAUCCCGCUUAUUGUGUGCUGACUCCCGCUUGCAGUGCAUGGAGCAAGAGUUAAAGCUAAAGCAAGAUGUUUGCAUUUGCCUGAAAGAAAACCUUGCAUCUGCUGAAAAAGAAAAGAAUGACUUGGAGCUUAGGAACCAGAGAUACAGUCUGGAAGUCGAAAGACUGUACAAGGACAAUAAGGAUGCUAAUGAAUUGCUUAGCAGUUUUGUGGCUAAGGUAGCUGAGCUAGAUAAAGAGCAUGCAUCAAUGUCAAGUCAUGUCGCUAGAUUGCUUUCUUCAUUUGAUAAGUACUAUGGAAUGGUCCAAGAGGAGAAACUGCUGAUAACAAGAUCUGCUAAGGACAAACUGGAACAUCUUCAAAACCAGUUUGUAGAUUUGACAUCAGAAAAUAGUGGUCUCAACAGUGAAAUUGGAGAACUGAAGUCCAGAAUCACAGAGUUACAAAAAACUCAAGAAGCUGUUAUGGUUCAGCAUGUAGAAGAAUGCCAAGUGGCUGAAGAUAAAAUCAGAAGACUGGAGUCUGAAGCAGAAGUAUCUGCCUCCAAUGUGAAUUCCUUAGAAAGGUUAUCUUCGGAACUACAAGGGAGAGUUCAAAAGUUACUGGAGGAUUCUAGCCUUGCUGAAAAUCAGAAGGAAGAGCUGUUACAGAAGACUUUGAAGCUAGAAUCAGAUAAUCAGGAGCUUCUAGGCAGAGUGCAGUCAGUUUUGGAUGAGAAAUCUAACGAUACAGAAUCACUGCACAGCGAGAUUGCUAAGCGUGACCAGCAGGUUGACACACAAGAAAAACAGAUCAGUGAGCUCCGCAGUGUUCUUGAUGAGAAGGAACAGUUGUAUAUUUCUUCUGUAGAAAGAGAGAAGAGUUUGGAGGAACAAAAGUUACAGAUCCAAGCAUCACUUGCUGCCACAGAAUGUCAACUUACCGAGGCCAAAAAACAGUACGAUCUCAUGCUUCAGGGUAAACAGAUAGAGCUAUCAAAACAUUUGAAAGAGUUGUCACUCAGAAAUGAUCAGGCAAUCAAUGUCAUCCGUAAGAAAUAUGAAUUAGAAAAGGUAGAAAUCAUUAGUGCUGAAAAAGAGAAGGCAGAAAAACUCAUAAGGGAAAUGGAGCACAAAUGCAACGAAAAGAUAUUAGAGAACAAGCGAGAAUCUGAGAGGUGCUUGAUGCGUCUUAAGGAGGAACAUGCCGCAGUGGUGGCAAGAAUUCAACAGGAUAAUGAGCUUAAGGAAUCAACUCUUCGGGCUUAUCACAAAGAAGAAUUGCAGCGCAUUCGUUCUCAGGGUGAGAAUGAAUUGAGGGAGAGGCUGUCGUCGCUCAGACAAGAGCAUGAAGCUCAAAUAAAAACAGUGAACAUUCGACAUGAAGAAGAUUGUCAGAAACUACAGGAUGAACUGGAGCUUCAGAAGUCAAAGGAGGAGAAGCAAAGAGCAUUAUUACAGUUACAGUGGAAAGUGAUGGGCGAAAGUCAACAAGUUGAUCAGGAAGUUAAUUCUAAAAAGAGGAGAGAUCCAUAUGUCAGAAAAGAAAGUCAGCUUCAGUUGCCAGGUCCAGGUCCUGAGACCAAACGGAAGGAUGUAAACAUAUCUGGAGUUAUACACUCGCCAAUUUCUAACGUACUGAGGAAGGUAGAGAAAGCAAGUCAGGAUGUUACUAAUCACAGAAAGGUAACACACCAUGAAUAUGAAGUGGAGACAGCAAAUGGAAAAAUCACAAAGCGCAGGAAAACUAAGAGCACUGUCAUGUUUGGGGAACCGAAUACUCAGAAGUCAUUGCAAAAUACUGUUGACAAGGAUGUUACAAAAACAAGAAAGGUUGUUGCAGGAUCCCGUCCCCAUCCUGCCAAUAUUGGUGAAUUAUUUUCUGAGGGCUCCUUGAAUCCAUAUGCUGAUGACCCUUAUGCAUUUGGCUAG
rnacentral:rRNA from 1 species